ACAUGCAAGUCGAACGGAAGUCGUUAUAAAAAGGAUUGAAGAUUUAUCUGAUUGAGAUUUUAUAACAAUGGCUUUAGUGGCGGACUGGUGAGUAACGCGUGAGCAACCUGCCUACUAGAGGGGAAUAACAGUGAGAAAUCAUUGCUAAUACCGCAUAUGCCAUGAACAUCACAUGAUGAAAAUGGGAAAAGAGUAAUCUACUAGUAGAUGGGCUCGCGUCUGAUUAGAUAGUUGGUGGGGUAACGGCCUACCAAGUCAACGAUCAGUAGCCGGACUGAGAGGUUGAACGGCCACAUUGGGACUGAGAUACGGCCCAGACUCCUACGGGAGGCAGCAGUCGGGAAUAUUGCGCAAUGGAGGAAACUCCGACGCAGUGACGCCGCGUAUAGGAAGAAGGUUUUCGGAUUGUAAACUAUUGUCGUUAGGGAAGAUACAAGACAGUACCUAAGGAGGAAGCUCCGGCUAACUACGUGCCAGCAGCCGCGGUAAUACGUAGGGAGCAAGCGUUAUCCGGAUUUAUUGGGUGUAAAGGGUGCGUAGACGGGACAACAAGUUAGUUGUGAAAUCCCUCGGCUUAACUGAGGAACUGCAACUAAAACUAUUGUUCUUGAGUGUUGGAGAGGAAAGUGGAAUUCCUAGUGUAGCGGUGAAAUGCGUAGAUAUUAGGAGGAACACCGGUGGCGAAGGCGACUUUCUGGACAAUAACUGACGUUGAGGCACGAAAGUGUGGGGAGCAAACAGGAUUAGAUACCCUGGUAGUCCACACCGUAAACGAUGGGUACUAGGUGUAGGAAAUGAUUUCAUUUU
rnacentral:rRNA from 1 species